UACGGAGGGUCCAAGCGUUAUCCGGAUUUAUUGGGUUUAAAGGGUGCGUAGGCGGCCUAUUAAGUCAGGGGUGAAAGACGGUAGCUUAACUAUCGCAGUGCCUUUGAUACUGAUGGGCUUGAAUGUACUUGAGGUAGGCGGAAUGUGACAAGUAGCGGUGAAAUGCAUAGAUAUGUCACAGAACACCAAAUGCGAAGGCAGCUUACUAAAGUAUGAUUGACGCUGAGGCACGAAAGCGUGGGGAGCAAACAGG
rnacentral:rRNA from 1 species